rnacentral:rRNA from 1 species
CCCUUAGAUGUUCUGGGCGGCCCGCGCACUACAUUGACACUCUCAAUAAGUUCCUAGAUCUAAAACUUUGGGGUAUUCUAUUAAGUGGUGUCGUGACUGGGAUUAACCCUUGCAAUUAUUGGUUACGAACGAGGAAUUCCUUGUAAUCGCGGUUUAUCAGCCCGCGUUGAAUGCGUCCCUGCCCUUUGUACACACCGCCCGUCGCUCCUACCGAUGAAUCGUCCGGUGAAGUUCAUGGAGUGGUGGUUGUUCCAGCUGCUGUCGAAGUGAAAUGGACCUCACGAUUUAGAGGAAGGAGAAGUCGUAACA